CUUCCUACGGGACGCAGCAGUGGGGAAUAUUGGGCAAUGGGCGCAAGCCUGACCCAGCAACGCCGCGUGAUCGAAUGAAGGCCUUCGGGUUGUAAAGAUCUGUUGACAGGGACGAAUAAGCCAUGCGAAUAGUUUGGUGUAUGACGGUACCUGUUUAGAAAGCUCCGGCUAACUACGUGCCAGCAGCCGCGGUAAUACGUAGGGAGCAAGCGUUGUCCGGAAUUACUGGGCGUAAAGGGCGCGUAGGUGGGUGCUUAAGUCAGGUGUGAAAACUCUGGGCUCAACCUGGAGACUGCACUUGAAAC
rnacentral:rRNA from 1 species